ACCGUCGUCGACCAGUGGAAGGUCAUCCUCGCAAGUUUAAUUUGAAUCCCAGUUGCUUCGACAUCCGAGAAAGCCGGGGGUUCGAUUCCCCUCGACGGUA